CAGUCGCCGCGGUAAUACGAAGGGUGCAAGCGUUAAUCGGAAUUACUGGGCGUAAAGCGCGCGUAGGCGGUUACUCAAGUCAGAGGUGAAAGCCCGGGGCUCAACCCCGGAACUGCCUUUGAAACUAGGUAACUAGAAUCUUGGAGAGGUCAGUGGAAUUCCGAGUGUAGAGGUGAAAUUCGUAGAUAUUCGGAAGAACACCAGUGGCGAAGGCGACUGACUGAACAAGUAUUGACGCUGAGGUGCGAAAGCGUGGGGAGCAAACAGGAUUAGAUACCCCCGUAGUCCCUGUCUCUUAUAC
rnacentral:rRNA from 1 species